CCCGCUGAACUUAAGCAUAUCAAUAAGCGGAGGAAAAGAAACCAACCGGGAUUGCCUCAGUAACGGCGAGUGAAGCGGCAAGAGCUCAAAUUUGAAAUCUGGCCCCCUCGGGGGUCCGAGUUGUAAUUUGGAGAGGAUGCUUCGGGUUCGGUCCCGGUCCAAGUGCCCUGGGACGGGCCGUCGGAGAGGGUGAGAAUCCCGUCUGCGACCGGUGACUGGGCCUGGGUGAAGCUCCCUCGACGAGUCGAGUUGUUUGGGAAUGCAGCUCUAAAUGGGUGGUAAAUUCCAUCUAAAGCUAAAUAUUGGCCAGAGACCGAUAGCGCACAAGUAGAGUGAUCGAAAGAUGAAAAGCACUUUGGAAAGAGAGUUAAACAGUACGUGAAAUUGUUGAAAGGGAAGCGCUUGCAACCAGACUUGCGCGCUGUCGAUCAUCCGAGGUUUUCCCCGGUGCACUCGGCGGCGUUCAGGCCAGCAUCGGUUUCAGUGGUUGGAUAAAGGCCUUGGGAAUGUGGCUCCUCCGGGAGUGUUAUAGCCCUCGGUGCAAUGCAGCCUACUGGGACCGAGGACCGCGCUUCGGCUAGGAUGCUGGCGUAAUGGUUGUAAGCGACCCGUCUUGAAACACGG
rnacentral:rRNA from 1 species